CCUUCCUCUGCCAGAGGGGAAGAGACUAAGAAGAACAGGAAGUGGCGUUUCCCACCGAAAAUGCAUAAGUUUCCAAAGAUCAUGAUUAAGCUGUUCAAGACAAAAGGGAAACCGAAGAGACAUCCAGAACAGGAUGCUCUGCCUACCAAACGUCUCAGAGAGACUCAUAUUUCACAGGAUGCUGAGUGUGAGGUUCCAGAGGUUCCAUCCACUUCCCCACCCAAGGAGGACCUGACAACCACACCGGCCCCCC